UUGCUGUCUCUCUGAUUGUUUUUUUUUUUGCUAAGUCCGAUCGUGUUCUUUGAAGAUGUUGUUUCCAGAGUGGCUGAGGCGAGGUUGAUUUUCAAGCUCAUUCAGUUUCAGGAAGCUUGGAAUCCAGCAGAAGCUGGGAUGCUAAUUGCUCUUGAGCUUCUCCUGAUCGACGAGAAGGAUUUAUCGCACCUAAUCGUGUACGCCAUUAUGAAGCUUUUCUCAAGCUGAGCUCCACCUCUUUAGCCUCACCAACUUCUUCGCGACGAAAAACAAAGGAAAUGAGCUUAGAUGUUAACAUGACUAGCUAUGUUGGUCUUCAAGGUUCCCUUGAUUCUAUUGGUGAAUCAAGUUGAACGAAUGGUUCAGAUGGGAACACACAACGAUAUAUUUCUUGAAAAACUGAUUCUAACUUUAUGGUUAAGAGUCUUACGCAUAAGAAACUUCAUCAGUUGGGCAUACGGUUUUAUCAAUCACUCAACCUCGACCUCUGGAAGCAGUCAACCUGCGUAAGGUCAACAAUGUGAGAGGCUACUGGAGUGCAAGAAACAGUGCGUAAACUUUUUAUAUGAUAUAUCAAGUUGCAUAGUCAGGGUGUGGUUUAUAUGAGAUAUCAACUUUUGGAGGGUGAUUGGCUUAAAAUUGGUUAUUUGGUUUAGGUCUGAUUUUUCAUAUGUAAUGUGUUUCUGAUCAUGAACCGGUUUGAG